rnacentral:rRNA from 1 species
GACGAACGCUGGCGGCGUGCUUAACACAUGCAAGUCGAACGAAGAGCGAUGGAAGCUUGCUUCUAUCAAUCUUAGUGGCGAACGGGUGAGUAACGCGUAAUCAACCUGCCCUUCAGAGGGGGACAACAGUUGGAAACGACUGCUAAUACCGCAUACGAUCUAACCUCGGCAUCGAGGAAAGAUGAAAGGUGGCCUCUAUUUAUAAGCUAUCACUGAAGGAGGGGAUUGCGUCUGAUUAGCUAGUUGGAGGGGUAACGGCCCACCAAGGCGAUGAUCAGUAGCCGGUCUGAGAGGAUGAACGGCCACAUUGGGACUGAGACACGGCCCAGACUCCUACGGGAGGCAGCAGUGGGGAAUCUUCCGCAAUGGACGAAAGUCUGACGGAGCAACGCCGCGUGAGUGAUGACGGCCUUCGGGUUGUAAAGCUCUGUUAAUCGGGACGAAAGGCCUUCUUGCGAACAGUUAGAAGGAUUGACGGUACCGGAAUA